UAACUUCAACACCUAUAAAAUGGGAAAGACUCUUAAAAGUGGGCCACUCAAAAGGUGGCUAUGUGAGCCCCACCAACUUAGGGCAUGAUAGACCCAUGUGCACAAUGGGCUCUCAAUAUUUUUUAAAUAUUUUUAAAAAAUUAAUAAAAGAUUAAAAUGGAUUUGAAUAUUUAAAACAUUAAAAAAAUUAAUAUCUCCAUUUUAAUAAAUGCAAAUUUUAUAAAUAAAAUAUCCAAUUAUUUAGAAAAAUUCAAAUAAUAAUUCUAAAAUCAUAUUAUUAUAAACUAAAGACAAUUAAAUUCAUUAGAUGAGAUAAGGAUCCAUAUGGUCUAUGAAUAAACAUUUGGGGCACUCCACCUUCAGCCGUGGACUACGUUCCACACUUGCUUUAUCAACCG
rnacentral:lncRNA from 1 species